GACGAACGCUGGCGGCGUGCUUAACACAUGCAAGUCGAGCGGUAAGGCCCUUCGGGUACACGAGCGGCGAACGGGUGAGUAACACGUGGGUGACCUGCCUCUGGCUCUGGGAUAAGCCUGGGAAACUGGGUCUAAUACCGGAUAUGACUCCACGGCGCAUGUUGUGGGGUGGAAAGCCUUGUGUGGCUAGAGAUGGGCCCGCGGCCUAUCAGCUUGUUGGUGGGGUGAUGGCCUACCAAGGCGACGACGGGUAGCCGGCCUGAGAGGGCGACCGGCCACACUGGGACUGAGACACGGCCCAGACUCCUACGGGAGGCAGCAGUGGGGAAUCUUGCGCAAUGGGCGAAAGCCUGACGCAGCGACGCCGCGUGAGGGAUGACGGCC
rnacentral:rRNA from 1 species